rnacentral:rRNA from 1 species
GACGAACGCUGGCGGCGUGCUUAACACAUGCAAGUCGAACGGAAAGGCCCUGCUUGCAGGGUACUCGAGUGGCGAACGGGUGAGUAACACGUGGGUGAUCUGCCCUGCACUUCGGGAUAAGCUUGGGAAACUGGGUCUAAUACCGGAUAGGAACCAUCUUUAGUGUGGUGGUUGGAAAGUUUUUUCGGUGUAGGAUGAGCUCGCGGCCUAUCAGCUUGUUGGUGGGGUAAUGGCCUACCAAGGCGGCGACGGGUAGCCGGCCUGAGAGGGUGUACGGCCACAUUGGGACGGAGAUACGGCCCAGACUCCUACGGGAGGCAGCAGUGGGGAAUAUUGCACAAUGGGCGCAAGCCUGAUGCAGCGACGCCGCGUGGGGGAUGAAGGCCUUCGGGUUGUAAACUCCUUUCGCUAGGGACGAAGCUUUGUUGUGACGGUACCUAGAUAAGAAGCACCGGCUAACUACGUG